rnacentral:rRNA from 1 species
GACGAACGCUGGCGGCGUGCUUAACACAUGCAAGUCGAACGGAAAGGCCCUGCUUUUGUGGGGUGCUCGAGUGGCGAACGGGUGAGUAACACGUGAGUAACCUGCCCUUGACUUUGGGAUAACUUCAGGAAACUGGGGCUAAUACCGGAUAGGAGCUCCUGCUGCAUGGUGGGGGUUGGAAAGUUUCGGCGGUUGGGGAUGGACUCGCGGCUUAUCAGCUUGUUGGUGGGGUAGUGGCUUACCAAGGCUUUGACGGGUAGCCGGCCUGAGAGGGUGACCGGCCCCAUUGGGACUGAGGUACGGCCCAGACUCCUACGGGAGGCAGCAGUGGGGAAUAUUGCACAAUGGGGGGAAGCCUGAUGCAGCAACGCCGCGUGCGGGAUGACGGCCUUCGGGUUGUAAACCGCUUUCGCCUGUGACGAAGCGUGAGUGACGGUAAUGGGUAAAGAAGCACCGGCUAACUACGUG